rnacentral:lncRNA from 1 species
AUCCCACUGGCAUUAUAACAACCCUGAUGCCCUAUUUGUUUCCUUCCCAAGGUCUCAGAUGGAGCUGUGGGAUCUGCUCCGUUCUGUUUCUCUAGGAUCAUCUCACCACAACGAGGAGAUGCUGGACAUCAAACAAAGAGGAACGCCAUCGUCCCUCCAACUCCUUCCCCAAGGAGAAUGAAUUUCACCUUUUAUAACAUUCAAAGACAAUUAUGCUGUCUUCGUGAUGAAUGAUGUCACCCUGAUCCCAGCAAUAAAAGAGAAUGUACUAAUGCCA